rnacentral:lncRNA from 1 species
CCUGCUACCGGAGCUCCGGCCCCUCUGGCUCCGUCAAUUGAAGGGAGUACCACAAAGAGACGCCCCGGUCGUCCCCGUAAGGAUGGUUCCUCCGAAGCCAAGCCGGUGCAGCCCAAAUCACCCGUCCCGAGUGGUAUGAAAAAACGACCUGGUCGUCCUCCUAAGACCGCAACAGUCAAUGCUUCAACUUCUCCUGGAUCAGCUGUGGCUUCCAAGCCUAGAGGGCGCCCAAGGAAAAGUUCUACUCCGGGACGAAGAGGACGACCUAAGAGAAAUGUGGCUGCCGCUACUAAUGCUGGUGCCAAUGCGGCCAACUUUCCUGCUGGUAAUCCCAAUGUUGCUGCUGGUGGUGACCCAACACCGACCCCCAAAAGGCGGGGAAGGCCACCAAGGUCUAGUACUCAAGGUGGAGUCG